rnacentral:lncRNA from 1 species
GCUAUGCAUUGCCUUUUAUUUGUAUGUGACCUUUCCUUGAUGUGUUACAUGACUCCUAAGAUUCUUACCUCAAGUUCAGUACACAAAAGCAAAAUCUACUAUCGUCUUAUUUCCUUUUUCUAUGCUUAAUAGUCUAAAUUUAAGAAAUAAGUAGCAAAUAAUCCAGGAAUAUAUAAAAAACCAGAAAUAACUAUUGAAAUUACCUUAGAUGAAUUUAAAGAAAUUAAGAUAAAUAAUCUGCUUUAAGGAAAAAAGACUCUCCACAGGUAGAGAUGAAAUACAUUCCACAACAGUAUGGUUUUAUUUUAGUUUUCAAUGGUAUUACCAGCCAGAAAGUGAUGAAUAUAUAAAACAAGUAUAAGAAAUUUGGGAAAGGGUUGAAAGUAUCUGGAUUCUGUAUGGUGCAAGGUUUAAUGCUGGGUAGGAAGCAUUUAUCUCCCUUUUAGAUAAACUCAGUUACUGAACAGUUACUGACUUCAGUGAAGGAAGGGCAUAAAGAAAAUCCUCACAUUUCUUCUGGAAUUGUACAUAUUCAAUUGCUUAUCUCUCCAGAGACAUUGUGAUAUCUGUUGGAAUUUUACUAUUAUGAAGACUAUUUAUGGCCUUUUGGUAAUAGGCUUUCCUUAAAUAUGGAAAAAGAAAACAGGAGAUUUGCUGAUAAGAUAAAAGAACAUCAUACCUUUUUUUGUCGUUAUUUCAUACUUGGGACUUAGGGUUUGGGGAUAUGUCUGAUUUUUUUUUUUUGGUACAGGGUGUUUACACUGAGCUAUAACCCUUCCCCCCUUUAAUUUUGGACAGGGUCUCCAUCCCUCUGUCUCAGCCUCCCAUAGCCAUCUGAAUCUUAAAGAGGUUGGUACCUCACACUUUAUCUAUAUUUUAUUAAAAUGCAUUAAAAAUUAUCUACCUGUCAGUGAGAUCUGUCUUAUUUAAUACCUCAAUUUUAUGAUGUGACUUAUGAACUGACAUUACUAACAACCACCAUUACCUGGAAUUCUGCAUUUCCCAUGGUCUGUAUCAAUGUUUAUUAUUUCCCAAGAAUGUAAGACUAGAACAUUGGACUGUAAGUUCUUUUUGUUGUUGUUGUUGUUUUUUGGUACCGGCGAUCAAAUUCGGGUCCUUGCACUUGUGCAGCAGCCGGCGAAACCACUGAGCUAAAUCCCCGGCCCCUGGACUGUAAGUUCUUAAUGCUAACAUAAUUUAAACAAAAACUAUUGAUCAAUUGAGGAAAGUAAUUAAGUAGUGAAACUAUAACUUAAUAAUCUAGAUAAAUGAUUAUUUAAUCUUUCAAACAGCCUUCAAAUGCAAAUAUCACCAAUAUUUGAGCUAUCACAGACCAUAUACCAACUUCUUACUUUGAGGAGUAACUCUACAACUUUUUAUAAUAGCAGUACUUAAAAAACACAUACCAACUUUAAGAUCUCUGGUUCCAUGCACAAAAUAAGCAUAGUAUACUAGAAUACGUGGUUGAAUGAAUUGCCCACAGCCACCCAUGAAGAUUAGAAUCUUGGCGUCCUGAGUUGCAAUCUCCUAUUCCAUACUGUUUCCCUUAAAAAAAGAAAAGUCUCCAAAAUCAACUUCUGCAGCUCAGUGACAGCCAUGAAUGCCCAACUGAUGAACUGGGCUCAGUGCCACAUAUGCAUGCUAUCACAUGUAUUUAAAUGGAUCAUGGAUUUCAAACUAUUUUACCAACUACUCACAAUGAGAAAUGCAUAUCAUGACCUAGUGUAUGCAUACUUACAUAGAGGAUUGUAUCAGUCAGAGUCUAACCAGGAAAUUUAGUUCAGGGACUUGUUUGUACUGAUGAUGAUAAGAAAUCACAUAAUGAACUGAGUAGCAACAGUAAGAAAUCAAUUUUCCCUAAGUUGGGGAACCGAGGGAUGAGGAAGAACUAAAAUCUGAAACCCUGGUGUGUGAUGGUGGUGAUGCAACUUUUGCUUGAGUCAAAGGGAAGAAGGAAAUACCUUGACUUUAUUUAUUUUUAUUUUUUUUGUACCGGGGAUCGAACUUGGAACCUUGCGCUUGUGAGGCAGGCGGCAGCACCACUGAGCUAAAAUUUAAGUGACACAUAAAACUCUACACAUUUAUGGGAUACUAUGUGAUACUCUGACAAACUGCAUACAUUUUGUAAUCUUCAAAUCAGGAAUCUACAUAUGAGUGUGAUCCUGUUGGGGAUACCUUGUCUUCUCCCUCCUGUCCUGCAGUCCAGUCUCUGCUUGUCUGCCUCUCAUAGGCUGAAUUCAGCUGGCACAGGAACCUGGGAAGUGCAACCCCCAAAGACAUAACAUCAAGCACCAGGUUAUGACUUUAUAAUAGAAUCAUUCUUUGUAAAUAAUUUUAACAAAGACACUGGCAGUACAUAAGCCAGGAUUAAUACAUGUGAGUAUACCCCAAAACCUCAGAAAAUUGUUAAUUAUAAAAUUUAAAAUUUAGAGCUAAUUAAUAUAUACAGACACCUGAACAACAUAUGUAAUAAUUUCAGAUUUUUGGAAAUCUAGCAAAAUGGAUACACCUUAAUUCAAAUUAUUUAACAAUGAAAUGUU